AUUAAUUCUAUUGCCUUUCAGUAUCCUGGUAAAGAUAAGUCUAGAACUGUGUGUAUCAGUUUAAAUGUGAUAAUCCUCUACCCAAGGAGAAUAUAUUAAGUGGAUUUUGGAAGCAGGGAGAUGGGCCAGGAGCUCACCCCAACCUCUCCACACAUUACCCUGGGACUGUAGUACUUCCAGAAAUAGCACAUCCUUC